rnacentral:rRNA from 1 species
GCAGUCGAGCGAGAAGGUCUUCGGACUGAGUACAGCGGCGGACGGGCGAGUAACGCGUGGGAAUCUACUCUUGAGUGAAGAAUACCUCUGAGAAAUCGGGGUUAAUACUGCAUACGUUCCUUCGGGAAGAAAGAUGGCCUCUUUGCUAUCGCUCAAGAAUGAGCCUGCGUCACUAUUAGCUAGUUGGUAGGGUAAUGGCCUACCAAGGCGAGGAUGGUUAGCCGGCCUGAGAGGGUGUACGGCCACAUUGGAACUGAGACACGGUCCAAACUCCUACGGGAGGCAGCAGUGAGGAAUAUUGCGCAAUGGGCGAAAGCCUGACGCAGCGACGCCGCGUGGAGGAUGAAGGCCUUCGGGUUGUAAACUUCUGUUAAGUGGGGCGAAAGUGGUGGCAAUAAUACGGCCACUAGAUGACGGUACCACUAGAGAAAGCACUGGCUAAUCUCGUGCCAGCAGCCGCGGUAAUACGAGAGGUGCAAGCGUUAUUCGGAAUUAUUGGGCGUAAAGGGUGCGCAGGCGGCAUAUUAAGUCAAUUGUUUAAUUCCUCGGCCUAACUGAGGGUCAGCGGUAGAAACUGAUAUGCUAGAGUGUGAGAGAGAGAAGCGGAAUUCUCGGAGUAGCGGUAAAAUGCGUAGAUCUCGAGAGGAACACCAAUGGCGAA